CGGUCGGUUGGAGCGGCCGGGCCCCGCCCCGCGGGCCGCACUUCCGAGAGGCGUGUUCCGGGCGGGCGGACGCAGCGCCGGCGCCGGUUGAGACACCCUCCGCGUCCAUGGAGGCGCCGGGGCAGGCGGAGGUCGAGCAUGAGGACGGCGACAGCACCUGUGGGGACCUGUGCUGCAUGGACCAAGGCCUGCGGAGUAGCUGUCACUUGCCGAGUGCCAUCUGUGUGCAUGUUACCUGUAUUGUCACUGGUCCUCACCGCAGUUCUGCAAGGUGGCAGUUUUGCUUGUGACAAACCUGAGACCCGAGGGUGUAAAAAACUUUCCCAGCCUCGCAGCUGCAUAUCAGAGUUAUCCUUAGAUUCAACCCUCCAUGCCAUCAAUCUGCAUUGUAACAACAUCUCGAAGAUUGAAGCCAUUGACCAUGUCUGGAAUUUACAACAUUUAGAUUUGUCAUCUAAUCAAAUCAGUCAAAUCGAAGGGCUAAGCACACUGACAAAACUACGCACUUUAAAUUUGUCCAGCAAUUUGAUCACAAAAAUAGAAGGACUUGAAGCACUAAUUAAUCUGACUAGACUGAAUUUAUCCUAUAACCACAUAAAUGAUUUAAGUGGUUUGAUGCCCCUUCAUGGAAUCAAACAUAAGCUUAGAUACAUCGACCUGCACAGCAACUGCAUAGACAGCAUCCACCACCUGCUCCAGUGCAUGGUGGGCUUGCACUUCCUGACGAACCUGGUUUUGGAGAAGAAUGGCGAGGAUAACCCUGUCUGUCGGGUGCCGGGGUACCAAGCAAUUAUGCUGCAGACCCUGCCACAGCUUCGAAUCCUGGACUGCAAGAACAUAUUUGGUGAGCCGGUAGACCUGUCACAGAUAAAUUCCUCAAGUCUGCAGUGCUUCGAAGGUCUUUUGGAUAAUUUGGUUUCAUCUGAUUCUCCCCUAAAUAUCAGUGAAGAUGAGAUCGCUGACGGCCUGCCGGUGGUGACGGCCCCCACGGGUGAUGACAUGGCCCCCCUGGACCCGUUUGCAAGUCCUCCAGCUGACACGGGGCUGCCGUCUUUUAUGUCCGUGUGCCCGCCUUCUGAGCCAGAGAAGGAUAAUCAUGAUAGCGAUUUUCAGAAUGAGAUGAAACUUCAGAAAUUAGAUGAUCAGUUUUUACAGCUUCUCAAUGAAACUUCUAGCUCUUUAAUAGAUAAUGUUCCCGAGAAAGACCUGAUACUGAAAAGAGACAUGGAUAUAACUUCUGAAAGUGACUAUGGCAACAGAAAAGAAUGCAAUAGAAAAGUUCCUCGAAGAUCGAAAAUCCCAUACUAUUCCAAAACAAUUCAGACUAUUAAGCACUACAACAAAAACAGCAACACUUCCAUAAGUUACAGUCGUAAAAUGAAACAGCCUUUCUUUAAAGACUUAUACUUAUGUUCCUCUCUGGCAAACUGUAGCCAACUGGAGGAGGUUGAGGAGCCGAGGACUGAGCUGAUGCAAGUGAACAUCAGUUUCCCAGAGGACACCUACCGGAUACUUGUUGAGCAGCUAGACCAGGAGAGAGAGAAGAGGUGGAAAGCUGAACAAGCUGAAAAGAAGCUCAUGGAUUAUAUCGAUGAGCUGCAUAAACAUGCAAACGAAAAGAAGGACAUCCACAGCCUGGCUCUGCUCACCACAGAUAGGUUAAAGGAGAUUAUUUUUAAAGAGAGAAAUUCCAAAGUGCAACUCGAAGUUAUGGUUCACAAACUUCAAAAUGAAAUUAAAAAACUGACCAUUGAGUUAAUUAAAGCAAGAGACCAGCAAGAGGAUCACAUCCGACACCUGAGAGCCCUGGAGAGAGCGUUAGAGAAGAUGGAGCGGCAGAAAGGGCAGCAGCAGACGGCACAGAUGCGGCUUAUCGAAGAGGUAGAGCUCAAGGCGGCGGCUGCCGACCGAGAAAUUAACUUACUUCGAACUUCCCUUCAGCAAGAAAAGGAGCAGGUGCAGCAGCUUCACGAGCUUCUUGCACUGAAGGAGCAAGAGCACAGGAAAGAACUUGAAACAAGGGCAUUUUUCAGUGAUUCUGAGUUCCAGGAAGCCAUAGCCAAGGAAGUGGCAAAAGAAGAGGCAAAGCAUGAGCAAGAGAUCAAAGGAUACCAAGAAAAAAUUGACACAUUAAAUCAUCAGUACCUGGAUUUGGAGAAUGAAUUUCGUAUUGCUUUAACUCUCGAAGCCAGAAGAUUUAAAGAUGUUAAAGAUGGUUUUGAAAGUGUUGCAACUGAGUUAGCAAAGAGCAAGAAUGCUCUUGUCUGGGCUCAACGGAAAGAAAACGAGUCUUCCUCUUUAAUUAAAGAUCUGGCCUGCAUGGUGAAGGAGCAAAAGACAAAGCUUGCGGAAGUCUCCAAACUGAAACACGAAACAGCAACAAACUUGCAGAAUCAGAUCAACACCCUUGAGCUCCUGAUCGAAGAUGACAAGCAGAAGAGCAUCCAGAUCGAGCUGCUCAAGCACGAGAAAGUCCAGCUGAUUGCCGAGCUCGCAGCCAAGGAGUCACUCAUUUACGGUCUCAGGACAGAGAGAAAAGUGUGGGGACAGGAGCUGGCACAACAGGGAUCCUGUCUGGCCCAGGACCGCGGGAAACUGGAGGCGCAGAUCGAAAGUUUAUGCAAAGAGAACGAGUCUCUGCGGAAGUCGAACGAGCAAGACAGCGACGCGCUGCGGAUUAAGUGCAAAAUCAUAGAGGACCAAACCGAGACCAUCGGGAAAUUAAAAGCUUGUUUACAGGAAAGAGAGGAACAAAUCAAAAUAUUACAAGAAAACAUCUGUGAAAUACAGAAAUGUACUCAAGAACAACUUGACGAAAAAUCUUCGCAACUGGAUGACAUAAUUGAGAAACUAGAAAGACACAAUGAAAGAAAAGCAAAACUAAAACAGCAGUUGCAAGUAAAGGAAUUAGAACUUGAAGAAAUUAGAAAAGCUUACAGUAUCCUUAAUCAGAAGUGGCAUGAUAAAGGGGAGCUCCUCAGUAAUCUGGAAAUGCAAGUAAAGGAAGUGAAGGAGAAAUUUGAGAACAAGGAAAGGAAGCUGAAAGCGGAAAGAGACAAAAGUGUUGAACUACGAAAGGAUGCUGUGGAAAAGCUUUAUUGUAUGGAUGAUGCCUUUAAAAAACAAGUGGAGGCAAUUGUUGAAGCUCAUCACGCUGAAAUAAUACAUCUGGAAAAUGAAAAGCAAAAAUAUAUUGAUUCUGCAAAUUUAAAGGGUCUUGGAACAUAUCCCCACAGAUAAGGGGGAGACUAUCUUCUGUACGAUUGGAGACUCAGAAAUCAGCAGCUAGAAAAGAGCCCAACAAGAGAAAGUGACAGGAAUACUCCGUAUCGUUAUAGUCAAGGUUGUAUGAUUAGUGGACAUCACUCUCAGGAGUCUGUGAAGAGAGAUGGCUGAGGGCUUUGGAAAUCAUCACAAUGAAUAAGGAAGUACAACUUGUUCAGAACUUAGUUCUGUAUUUCAUGUCAAAUCAAGAGAUGUUUCAGAUGUUUUAUUUAAGAUCCGCUGAGUGUUUGGCAAAGGUACAUCAGGUACCAAGUCAAGUAUCAGGAUAGGCCCGUACUUGGCUGAAAGGAAAAUGCCUAGUUCUGUUUUAGAUCUCCUACCGAUACAACAUAAAAUUAAAGAGAGAGAUCUGUUGGGGAGUUAAAGAAAUGGUACCAGAACUUACAUGUGACAAUAAAAAAAAUGUGAGGCAUCACAGAGAAAUGAUAAUUUAAAUUAGGAGAAAUAUCAACUUUCUGGGGGAGAAAGAGUAGGAAAGCAGUGUUAGAGAUUAGGAAGAGGGCUGGGCACAGUGACAGUCUUUUUGGGAGAGCUGGAUCAUAGAAAAGAGAGUUUCAAGCAGAAAUUAAUAGUAUCAGUUACAGAGAACUCUCCUGAUUAAACGACCUCUCAAAAAGAUGGCAAUUUUUUUCAAACACUUUUUUUAAAAUAUGUUUUUAUUGAUUUUUAGAGAGGGGAUGGAGCAUCAUCGAUCGCUGCCUCCUGCACGGCUCCUACUGGGGAUCAUAACCCCAGCAUGUGCUCUAACUGGGAAUCAAACCAGUGACCUCUUGGUUCCUGGGUCGAUGCUCAACCUCUAAGCCACACCAGCUGGGCAAAGGUGGCAAUUUAUAACCACCAGCAGCAGCUGUAGAAAUGCUGUUGGAACUAUAGUAGAUUAUCAUUGGGAAUGGAGGUUAUGUCAAGUUAGGAGGUCCGUAAGGGUCUAGUGUUUAAGGUGAAUCCAUUACUCAGCACUCAUGGCAGUACAGGACAGUGCAGACGUGAAGCCAGAAGAAUGAAUGACUCAGCACUCAUGGCAGCACAGGACAGUCCAGAGAUGAAGCCAGAAGACUUUCUGUCCAGAUGGGCUACUGAGAAGCUGCAUGGCCUUCAACAAAUUGUCUAAGCUCUAAAAUAGAGUCUAAAUAAAUCACCAUGUGUCCAUCACCAGAACCUGUGAGAAAUAGAUACUAUACAUGUUCGUCAAGUUGAAGAAGAAAUGCGUGGACUUCUGCAAGAAAACUGCAAGAACAAAAAAGCACUGGAAGCAAAAAUUAAGCAUCUUGCUUUUGCUGUAAACGAAAUUCAUCAGGUCUUGUGAUGGUUCUGAGAACAAACUCAAUUGAAAUGGACCAGCAGACCAAUUGUAAAAAUGAUUAAAUAUUGUAACAGUAGUAACUGCUAUGACUUUGAAAUGUCUCUUUCUACCCAUUUCAUUCUGAUUUUUAAAAGACUUUUGAAAAAGUAUUUAAUUGUAAAUGUAGCUUUUUAUAAUAAAUUGUUGAUAAUUAUGUGUAUUAGAAAAACCUAUCCAAAUAACUAGACUUAAGACACUUUUUGUUUCUGUACUAUACAUUCUUUGGUAAUUACACUUUGCCUAAAUAUGUAAAUGGAAAUUAAGGUUAGCCUUUGAUAUAUUAGGGAAAUUAUUUUAAUAGUUGUCAUUGCCUUAUUGUAUUGAUGAAGAAUGAAUUCUAUUUCUUGGUUGUCCUUUAGUUUAUGUAGCUCUAUUCUUUCAAAAUGCUCAUAUGAAGAGCCAAAAAGUAUCUGAGAUCUGUAUGGUCAGAGAUGUGGCACUCGUAAGAAAGCAUGUCACCAUUUCCUCAUCCUUCAUAAUGACCCCUUUUUUAUAAUGCAUAUGACUUUCAUUAAAGAUUACAUUUAAGGUUUAUAAACAUUGUCUGUUCCAGAGGAACACUACUGUUCCACCCUUAUUUUUUCAUUUCCCCCUUUAGUCACUGUAUAUAUGAAGAGAAUUCUUAUUUUACAACUGGAAACUGUUUUCUUCCAUUCAUCCAGUCAUUUAUUACUGUAUCACUUUUGUCAUCUUUUAUGUUCCUGUGUAUAUAAAACAAAAGCCUAAGUACUAUCCUCCUCACUGUUUUUGAAAGAGAAUAUAAUACUAUGCUUUUAAGUAAUAGCCAGUGACAUUUUAAAAGUUAAAUGGAAAAAUAUAAAUGCUUCUAAAAGAGGGUCCAUGUUUCACUUUAGGAAGCUUCACACUGACAUCUGUGGGACAGCAUUGAACAUACCGAGGUGUAUGGGAGUUGGGGAGGAGAGAGCAUAGAAAUAAUUUGGGAGAAUAAUAGCUAAAAACUCCCUAAGUUUGAUGAAAAAAGAUCAACUUACAGAUCCAAGAACUUCCAUAAAACCUAGGAUAAACAUGAAGAGAAACACUUAGACACUUUAUAGUCAAACUGUUGGGAAAAUCUUGAAAACAAGAAAAUAUGGUUUAUCUCAGAGGAACAGUAUGACUAACAGUUGACUUCUCAUGAGAAACAGUGGAGACCGGAAGGCAGUGAAUGACGUAUUUGAAGUAUGGGAAGACAGGAAUCGUCAAUCAAGAAUGCUGUCUCCAAAACUAUCCUUCAAAAGAAAAACAGAAAAUGUAUUGCUAGCCAAACUAAUGGAAAAGAAAUGUUAAAGGAUGAAAGGAAAUGAUAUCAGACAGUAACUCAUAGCCACUGCAAGAAAUAAAGAAUAUUGGAAACAUGAACUCUGCGGACCUGUUUCCCAGCAAAAUAAUACUAACUGGCAAAGAGUUUUUUAAAAUACCAUUUAGUCUCUGAAAACUGUCCUGAGAGCAUACUGCAGUGAAGACAUUUAUUGAAGAACAUUUACUAAACCUGUCAACAGCAGAAGCCUGAGGCACCGAGACAUAGCUAUCUCCUAAUACCUCCCACCCAGCCUGAUGGGAGUUUCGUAGUUGGAUGGCUGUGGCCAAGAAGAUAGGUGCCCCUCUGCCCCACUCCAUCAGUCACCAGGGAGGGCAAGCUGACAGCCUUAACCAUGAGUCAGAAGAGCCAGCAAGACUCAAGCUACUACAAUCAGGAAUGAAAGCAAGGACAUAAUGGGGUGGGAGGAAACCUUGGGAGUUGAUUACUAUGUUUAUGGUCGUGGCAGUGAUAAUUUUAUGGUAUAGACUUAACCUCACUCAUUAGGUUGAAUAAAUGUUUUACAUGUCAA